rnacentral:rRNA from 1 species
UACGUAGGGGGCUAGCGUUGUCCGGAAUCAUUGGGCGUAAAGCGCGUGUAGGCGGCCCGGUAAGUCCGCUGUGAAAGUCGGGGGCUCAACCCUCGGAUGCCGGUGGAUACUGUCGGGCUUGAGUACGGAAGAGGCGAGUGGAAUCCCUGGUGUAGCGGUGAAAUGCGCAGAUAUCAGGAGGAACACCGAUUGCGAAGGCAGCUCGCUGGGACGUUACUGACGCUGAGACGCGAAAGCGUGGGGAGCAAACAGG